GUGGGCUCUCAAGCGUGAGGUAAGGGCAAUUCGUGGAUGCCUUGGCGCAUACAGGCGAUGAAGGACGUGGCACGCUGCGAUAAGCUGCGGUGAGGUGUGAGCAACCUUUGACCCGCAGAUUUCCGAAUGGGGAAACCCACUCAUCCUGAUUAUCUAGCCUAUUGGGCUAGGUAAUUGGGACUAUGAGUAUCUCGAUACUGAAUACAUAGGUUUCGAGAAGCGAACCCGGGGAACUGAAACAUCUCAGUACCUGGAGGAAAAGACAUCAACCGAGAUUCCGUUAGUAGUGGCGAGCGAACGCGGACCAGGCCAGUGCCAUCUAUUCAACUAGCAGAACGAUCUGGAAAGUUCGGCCGUAGCGGGUGACAGCCCCGUAUGCGAAAGUGAUGUGGAUGGACUCGAGUAGGGCGGGACACGUGUAAUCCUGUCUGAACAUGGGGGGACCACCCUCCAAGCCUAAAUACUCGUAUGCGACCGAUAGCGAACUAGUACCGUGAGGGAAAGGUGAAAAGCACCCCGAUGAGGGGAGUGAAACAGUACCUGAAACGGAUUGCCUACAAGCAGUAGGAGGGGUCUUGUGCCCUGACUGCGUACCUCUUGCAUAAUGGGUCUGUGACUUAAUGUACCAAGCAAGCUUAAGCCGAUAGGUGUAGGCGCAGCGAAAGCGAGUCUGAAUAGGGCGACCAUAGUUUGGUGUAUUAGACCCGAAACCCGGCGAUCUAGGCAUGACCAGGAUGAAGGUGUGGUAACACACACUGGAGGUCCGAACCGAUUAACGUUGAAAAGUUACCGGAUGAGUUGUGUUUAGGGGUGAAAGGCCAAUCAAGCCGGGAAAUAGCUGGUUCUCCGCGAAAACUAUUGAGGUAGUGCCUCAGACGAACACCGCAGGGGGUAGAGCACUGGAUGGGCUAGGGGGUCGCGAGAUCUACCAAACCUAACCAAACUCCGAAUACCUGCGAGUGCUAUCUGGGAGACAGACGGCGGGUGCUAAGGUCCGUCGUCAAAAGGGAAACAGCCCUGACCUACAGCUAAGGUCCCCAAGUCACGUCUAAGUGGGAAAGCAUGUGGGAAUCCCAAAACAACCAGGAGGUUGGCUUAGAAGCAGCCAUCCUUUAAAGAAAGCGUAACAGCUCACUGGUCUAAACAAGGGUUCCUGCGGCGAAGAUGUAACGGGGCUCAAGACGUGCACCGAAGCUUAGGGUGUGGAUUUAUCCACGCGGUAGCGGAGCGUUCCGUAAGCCUGCGAAGCGAUCUGGUAAUGGGUCGUGGAGGUAUCGGAAGUGCGAAUGCAGACAUGAGUAGCGAUAAAGAGGGUGAGAUGCCCUCUCGCCGAAAGACCAAGGGUUCCUGCGCAAGGCUAAUCCGCGCAGGGUGAGCCGGCCCCUAAGACGAGCCCGAAGGGGGUAGUCGAUGGGAAUGCGGUUAAUAUUCCGCAGCCUGGUGGUGUGUGACGGAUGGCGUGUGUUGUCGGCUCUUAACGGAUUGAGCCGGCUUCGAAGCUGUCCCGGGAAAUAGCCCCACCGUAUAGACCGUACCCGAAACCGACACAGGUGGUCAGGUAGAGUAUACCAAGGCGCUUGAGAGAAGUGUCCUGAAGGAACUCGGCAAAUUGCCUCCGUACCUUCGGAAGAAGGAGGCCCCAUGUAAGCGCAAGCUCUCAUGGGGGGCACAGGCCAGGGGGUAGCGACUGUUUAGCAAAAACACAGGGCUCUGCUAAGUCGGCUUCAAGACGACGUAUAGGGUCUGACGCCUGCCCGGUGCCGGAAGGUUAAGUGGAGGGGUGCAAGCUCCGAAAUGAAGCCCCGGUAAACGGCGGCCGUAACUAUAACGGUCCUAAGGUAGCGAAAUUCCUUGUCGGGUAAGUUCCGACCUGCACGAAUGGCGUAACGACUUCCCCACUGUCUCCAGGACAUGCUCAGCGAAAUUGAAUUCUCCGUGAAGAUGCGGAGUACCCGCGGUUAGACGGAAAGACCCCGUGCACCUUUACUGCAGCUUCAGAGUGGCAGUGGACAAGAACUGUGUAGCAUAGGUGGGAGGCUAUGAAGCAUCGGCGCCAGCUGAUGGGGAGCCAUAGGUGAAAUACCACCCUGUUGUUGUCUACUGUCUAACCUCGUUCCGUGAAGCCGGAACAGGGACCCUCUGUGGCGGGUAGUUUGACUGGGGCGGUCGCCUCCUAAAGAGUAACGGAGGCGCGCGAAGGUUGGCUCAGGACGGUUGGAAACCGUCUGUUAGAGUGCAAUGGCAUAAGCCAGCCUGACUGCGAGACUGACAAGUCGAGCAGAGACGAAAGUCGGUCAUAGUGAUCCGGUGGUCCCUCGUGGAAGGGC
rnacentral:rRNA from 1 species